rnacentral:rRNA from 1 species
AACGAACGCUGGCGGCAUGCCUAAUACAUGCAAGUCGAGCGGUAAGGCCUCUUCGGAGGUACACGAGCGGCGGACGGCUGAGUAACGCGUAGGAACGUACCCCAAAGUGAGGGAUAACUGCUCGAAAGAGUAGCUAAUACCGCAUGUGCUCUCAGGAGUAAAGCUUUAUGCGCUUUGGGAACGGCCUGCGUAAGAUUAGCUUGUUGGUAAGGUAAUGGCUUACCAAGGCGACGAUCUUUAGCUGGUCUGAGAGGAUGAUCAGCCAGACUGGGACUGAGACACGGCCCAGACUCCUACGGGAGGCAGCAGUAGGGAAUUUUCCACAAUGGGCGAAAGCCUGAUGGAGCAACGCCGCGUGCAGGAUGAAUGCCUUCGGGUUGUAAACUGCUUUUAUGAGCGAAGAAUAUGACGGUAACUCAUGAAUAAGGAUCGGCUAACUCCGUGCCAGCAGCCGCAGUAAAAC